CCCGUCCUCGAGCCCCACAUCACAGCGACCCUCCUCUCCACUCCCGUGAUUCCCGUCGCGUCGCCGCCCUUUCCUCCAUCCCCGCCCCUGUCGCGAGCCCCUCUUCUUCCCCAUCCCACCGACAUCAUCCUCUACCGCUCUCCUCGUUGUGAGUCGCUCCAGGUCGCAGAGGAUGAUAUGCAUCCGGAUCUGCGCAGUUGAGGUGAGGAACGGAGGUGGGGGGAAGGAGCAGCGAUGCUGGUGACCAGUCAGGGGACGGAGGUGGAGGAAGGAGUAGCAAGGCUGGUGAUGGGCCAGGGGCCACCAGAGGAUGCAGAAGGGGGACGACGUCGCGCUUCUCGCCACCUCCACAUCCUCCUUAUCAGCGGCGGCGCAACUCCAGCAGGGAAGGGGGACGACGCUGCGCUUCUGAUGCUGGUUCACAUGCAGGUUUCAGAGAGUAGCACCAUGCAUUGCAUGAUGACUGUGGGUGAUCUUUGCAAGACAAUGCUUUUGAGUAUCGUGAAUUAUGGUCAUUCUCAAAAGGGUUAAUCAGUCAUCUGUUCGUCUGUAUUGCUACUCGGGGAGGUAAGUUCUUCCUUGCUCAUCUCAUAUUCGACAAAUUCAUGUGAACUGAGAUGACUCUCCAUGAGCUGGCCAAGGUGAUUCACGCUAAGGAAGCAGCCGACAGUGCAAGGUAUAGAAGAGGGAAUUUGUGUGAUUUGUUCUCUCUUCAUUUCCUGCUGGGAAGAAAUUAGAAAUAGUGAUCACUCAAUCUUCUGUAGCAUGUAUAUACUGAUGGUAGUUUCUUCGACUGAAUAUGUGAACCUGGAGAAGACUCUGCUAUUAGAACGGCUGAAGGAGAGUAUGCAGAUCUUCAGUAUCUUCGACAGGUUUUUGUUCUGUUACAAGCGCUAAUGGCCUAUUUUCAUUUUGUUGAACUAUGAUUGUUUCUGUAUGCUUCUUCUCUAAAAGCAAAUUGUAUUCUGUUAUAGUUACAGUCAGUGUGGGCCUGAAAUUCACAUCACCAAAAGAAUUGUAGAAUUUGAUAAGAGAAUUGUUUCUUAAUAAGUAAAUAAGAUACAAAUACAGUGUCUAACAUUGAUGGAAUGAACCUGCUGCAAGAGGCAAUAAAAGUGACGAUGCUUGAUUUUAUUAAUUGACAGGAUGAAAUAUUAAGUAGUAAGAUAAAUGUGAGCAUUCACCUAAUUUGUUUUUUACCUAUUGAAAUGGGUAGUUGGUCACGUAUUGUCAACUUGGUACAUUCAGUGUGCGUGUUCAGGUUUUAGGAUGAAAUUUAAUCCAAGAUCAUUACUUCAUGUUUUCCUACGUUUAUGUUGGCAUCUUUGACUUUGAUAUGUUCAUUGCACUCUAUUGGUUCUGAUGCCACAAAGUGACUGUGCUUUGUUAGUACAUCUAUGGAUACUUAUGCUUUAUUCAAGACACAAUCAGUUUCUUUUUCCUUUGUAAAUAGUCUGUAGAUAUAGCGUUGGCCUGAGCCCCUAAAGUGUCGUAUACUAUUUCCUGCAUGCUCAUUUUCUCUUUAUAUUCAAUUCAUGUGCCUUAGCAACAAUCUAAGUUAAAGACAACAGGAAUAAAUAUUAGUUGUUUCAUCUAUGGCCUCGUCAUUUAGCUUUUACUUAAACUGAAUAAAAAAAUUGUAUAAUUUCAAUAUAUACUAUUUAAUGUUUUGCCAAGACUCUCAUAGUGUGUUAAAAAUUUAAAUAUAUAACUAUGCAAUAACAAAGUUAUAAAUUGAUCCAGUGUUUCGUAUGAAGGAUUCGAUUAGUGUAUUUGUAAUGCAGUUUUGUGAUUCAGUAUCGUCGUGGUAGUUCAAAGACCCAAGGUGAGAUCGUCAUAUUUGAUUUCUUAGUUCCUAGGUCACAAAUCAUCUGCUAUCGCCAACAUUCGAGUUGUCCAUCCAUCCAUCUAUCUAUGGUGCGCUCGCCAACCACAUCCUCUGUUCAGAUUUUGAGUGUGGCAACAGGUCAUCAGUUGUAGUGUCAAAUACAAGAUUAAGCUAUUUGAAUCUUGCCAUAUGGUAGACCUACGAGCAGAACAAAAAAAAUAUAUAACUUAUGCUGGUUAGAACAAAUGCUCAGCUCGCCUUGUUUUUUUCUUUUUUGCCUCUUUUUGGUCCUGUUCAGAGGAGAUGUUAAAUGUUGGUUGAUGUCUGCAUAUCGCCUUGUAUUUAAUGAAAAUAAGGUCCUUCGAUGGAUAUCCAUGGCUUUCAGUUUUACUUGCAGCCAAUGAAUAUAGUUAUGGCACUUGUUGCCUUGUUGCGCUGUUCAAUGAUUAUCAGGAUUUUAACACCUACACUAUAUAUCCUAGGUAAACCACAUGGUGUUGUUUUCAAAUCAUAUGUUUGUCCUAGGUAAACCACAGGAAUUUAUGAACUUUCUUGGCCGCUUUAUUAGAACUACGGGUUUGUAAUAUGCUCCGGUUUUAUCACUUUAUGAGUAUGUAUAUGGUAGGGAGCAGCACCCGUGUAAGCGAGAAAACUUGUUGGUUGCCUGCAUAUCAUGUGAUAGUUUUUGGCUACUAUUCUGCUCAUGUUUCCAUGAACCCAUUUAUGAUUCGAAGCAGUCAGGCCUCUCUCUUCCUUCUAAUUUUCCAUGAACACCAUGGCCGCCUUCGCCGAGAGCGCCCGCAUCUUCAUCCAUUGCCUCUCUGCCAGGAGCUUUAGCCGGGUUGCUCAUCAGUAAAAACUGAGAAGUGUGUUUCUUCGUAGAUGGUUGCGAUAUGGAGAAAGAAUUUGGAUAUUUGGAGUGUGCACUGGACCUAUUGGAAGAUAAUUCCAUUACUAGAUUCAUAACUUUUGGAGUCCAUUCAAUAUUCAAUCACAAAAUUCACUUAUAAGAACAACUACGUACAUAUGAUUGCUGCACUCAUGAUAUCCUACUGUAUUGCUUCUUAGUGAUGAUUAAUUAUGAGAACAAAUAUAAAACUGCUGCUGCCUGUGCUAAUGGUUGGUACCCACUUGCUUUUGGAUCUUCGAUGCUGCCAUUUUUUUCCUAUCGAGUAUUGAUACUUGUUUGCUUUCUUUUGCUGUUAUGCUAAAUUUGUAUUUUGAUUUUGUAAACUAGGUCUGCACAGAAAUACAUUUAGUCCUCAAAAAUGUUAAAUGAAGACGCCCUGAUGAUGCUAAAGCAUUUCUAAAUCUGAAGUAUCGAGGAAGUUAACAACAUGGAAUGUAUGACGCUAAGUGCUCUGUGGUACAGAUGGUUUAGUAGUACCAUACUACCUUGAUUAGAUGCUUAUAACUGUGACAUGUUCCAUGAAUACUUCUGUUACGUAUAGCUAUGGCUGCCCAACAAGCGGUGAGCCUAAGAACCCCGUCGGAUGUUCAUUGCAUAUAGCUCGGGAGGCAGACAAGAGGAACCAAGCGGAUCUCCUUCCAUGACGGCAACCCAAGCAGAACCAAAAUCUUCCACGUGGCGGCAGCCAUUAGUGAGAUCUGGAGGGGAGCAGCAGCCGCGGCCUCGAUCCGGAGAAGGGGAGCAGCAGCGCCCCUCUUCUUCGCACGUGGCGGCCUUGCGCAGCUGCCUCCAUCCCACGCGUGCAGCUGCCACAUGAAGGCAAGCGAGCACACAUGAAAUAGAUAUGGCAAGUGGAUUUCCUCUCACCUCAACACUCACUGAAUUCAGUACCAGAAGAAGCCUGCUAUGCCACUGAUUUUGCACUACUGGUGUAAAUAUUGAGAACUAUAUGAACCGAUGCACCUUGUGGUCUGGAAAUAUGCUCCUGAUUGUGUGGAUAUUUGCAGCUUCAGAAUUAUUUUAUUCUUAGCCAUAUGUCAUCAAGGUGCAGCUGCUCAUAUGAUUUCCACUCGCUAUGGAAUUAGGAGAAGUCAGUUACUUGAUCUGACUGUUUAAAGUUCCACGGUUUUUCAAUAUAUGUUAACUAUGUUCAGAGAUCUAAAAGACUAUCAGGCUACACCAAUUCUGAAUGCAGUUUGAAAGCUUGUUUCACGAAGUGAGUAUGCAAGAUAACUUCAGGCAAAGUGUACAGAGGCUGCAGCUGAAGCCGGACUUUGAUGCUUGCAAGUUGGUGGAUCACCAGUUAUUAUCAGGUUCAAUCCCUUUGCCAUGUAAUACUGUGGCGACAUUGUCUGUUAUGUAUAAUUGUGCACACAGGUUUCUGUUGGAACAAUCACUGAAAACGAUGAUAGACUUUGUCUCACAUGUGUCGCUCACUGAUGAGAACUAGACUGAAGUGAAUUGUGCUAGAGAAGGAGUGGCCGGGAAAGUACACCAGUGAUGCCCUACAAGGCGAGCAGAAGAAAGCUAAAGAGAUGCUCCGUGUAAUCCCUAAGAAGCAGAAAGGGAGCAAAAGAACAGGUCCGCUUCAAGGGUAAAAUCCUCUGUUUUUUUUUUCGAAAAGGAGGUUAUUCCCCGGCCUCUGCAUCAGAAUGAUGCAUGCGCCCAUCUUAUUAAUAAGCUGAUAAAAUCAUCUGUAAUCCCUAAUUGUGCUUUUGUGAAAAUAUGUAGAUCAGUUUGAUGCUGGACACGAUUAAUUUACUAUUGUUGGUACAUGUAGAAGUAAUUCUGGAUUAGCCACAUUGUGGUUUCCUACUAGGAACUGAAAUUAUGCCCAGUUCAUUGGCAUGGUA